AUCAGUAGCUGGUCUGAGAGGACGACCAGCCACACUGGGACUGAGACACGGCCCAGUCUCCUACGGGAGGCAGCAGUGGGGAAUUUUGGACAAUGGGCGCAAGCCUGAUCCAGCUAUUCCGCGUGUGGGAUGAAGGCCCUCGGGUUGUAAACCACUUUUGUAGAGAACGAAAAGACACCUUCGAAUAAAGGGUGUUGCUGACGGUACUCUAAGAAUAAGCACCGGCUAACUACGUGCCGGCAGCCGCGGUAAUACGUAGGGUGCGAGCGUUAAUCGGAAUUACUGGGCGUAAAGGGUGCGCAGGCGGUUGAGUAAGACAGAUGUGAAAUCCCCGAGCUUAACUCGGGAAUGGCAUAUGUGACUGCUCGGCUAGAGUGUGUCAGAGGGAGGUGGAAUUCCACGUGUAGCAGUGAAAUGCGUAGAUAUGUGGAAGAACACCGAUGGCGAAGGCAGCCUCCUGGGACAUAACUGACGCUCAGGCACGAAAGCGUGGGGAGCAAACAGGAUUAGAUACCCUGGUAGUCCACGCCCUAAA
rnacentral:rRNA from 1 species